CAGCCUGUAAAAGGAAACGCCUCCCCGGGGACUGAGAAGGGAGAGUCUGGUGCGGAACACGUCUUUGUCCUGUGAAACCUGAGGCACUGGGGACAUGGCGCCCUUGACACAGUCUGUUCCGUGGCACCUUCGUUUCCGGGGGCACAUUUGUUUGGAUGGCUAACGACUCGGAAGGGAGGUCGCUGCCGUUUGCCCUGGAUUUCACUCACUGCAUGAGUCUGACUGGAGACCCCAGCACUGGCCUGCGGGGGGUUGUGGGACCUGGUGCACAAAAACUUAUUUGAGUCAGGCAAUUGAUCAAAACAGAUAAUUUCCCACGAAUGGUUUCGAUGAAUCAGCAUUUACUGAUGGAAAGAAAUGUUCAGUCAGAAUUUCCCAACCAGCUCCGUUGUCGAGUGCUUUGCGAGGUCAGGAACACGAGAGUUAAGCAGGGCCGGUGCAACCACUAGGCAAACUGCCCCCCUGCGCCACGCCAGCUCCUCCAUGGCUGGGGAUCGCCGCCCCUGAAAGUGGUUUGCCCUGGCUCUCCAGUGGCUCCAGAAGGUGGCUCCUCCCUGCUAAGCUGCUGCAGCAGCCCAAGCCCGGCAAAGCCAGUACUGAUUUUUCUGGAGGGUUCUUUUAAAAGUCAGAUAGUCAGAAGCAAAGAAAGAGAAACUCUUUGUCCAGCUAUCCAGAAGCAAAGGGCUGUUGUCGCUUUAAGAGCUCUCUUCAGUGGGAGGACAGUGAAGGGAGAAAUGGAUGGACAGAAAGGACAGGAAGACU